rnacentral:rRNA from 1 species
GAUGAACGCUAGCGGCAGGCCUAAUACAUGCAAGUCGAACGGUGUUUUCGGACAUAGUGGCGCACGGGUGCGUAACACGUAUGCAACCUACCUUACAUUGGGGGAUAGCCUUUCGAAAGGGAGAUUAAUACCGCAUAAGACAGUAGCUGGGCAUCCAGCAGCUGUUAAAGAUUUAUCGAUGUAAGCUGGGCAUGCGUCCAAUUAGCUAGUUGGUGAGGUAACGGCUCACCAAGGCAAUGAUUGGUAGGGGAACUGAGAGGUCAAUCCCCCACCAUGGCACUGAGAUACGGGCCAGACUCCUACGGGAGGCAGCAGUAGGGAAUAUUGGGCAAUGUACGCAAGUCUGACCCAGCCAUGCCGCGUGCAGGAUGAAGGCGUUAUGCGUUGUAAACUGCUUUUAUACAGGAAGAAACGACUCUUGCGAGAGGCAUUGACGGUACUGUAUGAAUAAGCACCGGCUAACUCCGUGCCAGCAGCCGCGGUAACAC